rnacentral:rRNA from 1 species
CCUACGGGGGGCAGCAGUGAGGAAUAUUGGUCAAUGGUCGGGAGACUGAACCAGCCAAGCCGCGUGAGGGAUGAAGGUACAGAGUAUCGUAAACCUCUUUUGUCAGGGAACAAAGGCGGGGACGUGUCCCCGGAUGAGUGUACCUGAAGAAAAAGCAUCGGCUAACUCCGUGCCAGCAGCCGCGGUAAUACGGAGGAUGCGAGCGUUAUCCGGAUUUAUUGGGUUUAAAGGGUGCGCGGGGGGUCUGUAAAGUCAGCGGGAAAAGCCCGGGGCUCAACCCCGGCCCGCCGUUGAAACUGGCAGUCUCGAGUUGGAGAGAGGUAUGCGGAAUGCGCGGUGUAGCGGUGAAAUGCAUAGAUAUCGCGCAGAACUCCGAUUGCGAAGGCAGCAUGCCGGCUCCACACUGACGCUGAGGCACGAAAGCGUGGGUAUCGAACAGGAUUAGAUACCCUUGUAGUC